UAUCAACUUACCUGUUCAUCAGACCCAUUCCAGUCAUCAGCAAUCAUCUUCUGUCCUCAGCACAGCACACUGAAUCAGACACAACCUGCAAAGAUCUUAAGGGGAGCAUUUCCUCCUAUAUGUGGCCAAAGAGUUUGUGACUUCUACUCCACCCUUGAAAAAGUGGUAUUGAUAAAGCAAGAAGAGGCAACCCUGUAGUGAGAGAAGGUUAUCCCUGAAUGCCUGUACAGUAUAAAAGCCACAUAAUGAA